AAAUUGAAGAGUUUGAUCAUGGCUCAGAUUGAACGCUGGCGGCAGGCCUAACACAUGCAAGUCGAACGGUAACAGGAAACAGCUUGCUGUUUCGCUGACGAGUGGCGGACGGGUGAGUAAUGUCUGGGAAACUGCCUGAUGGAGGGGGAUAACUACUGGAAACGGUAGCUAAUACCGCAUAAUGUCGCAAGACUAAAGAGGGGGACCUUCGGGCCUCUUGCCAUCGGAUGUGCCCAGAUGGGAUUAGCUAGUAGGUGGGGUAACGGCUCACCUAGGCGACGAUCCCUAGCUGGUCUGAGAGGAUG
rnacentral:rRNA from 1 species